GCGAAAGUAGUUCAAGGGCAGAAUCUCAGCUUCCCAAGCUGAGGGUCCGGGUUCGAUUCCCGGCUUUCGCA